rnacentral:rRNA from 1 species
CUUUUCUGAGUUUGACCUCGAAUCAGGUAGGAUUACCCGCUGAACUUAAGCAUAUCAAUAAGCGGAGGAAAAGAAACCAACAGGGAUUGCCCUAGUAACGGCGAGUGAAGCGGCAACAGCUCAAAUUUGAAAUCUGGCCCUCGGGUCCGAGUUGUAAUUUGUAGAGGAUGUUUUUGGUGAGGUACCUUCCGAGUUCCCUGGAACGGGACGCCAUAGAGGGUGAGAGCCCCGUCUGGUUGGAUACCGAUCCUCUGUAAAACUCCUUCAACGAGUCGAGUAGUUUGGGAAUGCUGCUCUAAAUGGGAGGUAUAUGUCUUCUAAAGCUAAAUAUUGGCCAGAGACCGAUAGCGCACAAGUAGAGUGAUCGAAAGAUGAAAAGCACUUUGAAAAGAGAGUUAAAAAGUACGUGAAAUUGUUGAAAGGGAAGCGCUUAUGACCAGACUUGGACUUGGUUGAUCAUCCUGGGUUCUCCCUGGUGCACUCUUCCAGUUCAGGCCAGCAUCAGUUCGUCGCGGGGGAUAAAGGCUUCGGGAAUGUGGCUCCUCCGGGAGUGUUAUAGCCCGUUGUGUAAUACCCUGCUUUGGACUGAGGUUCGCGCAUCUGCAAGGAUGCUGGCGUAAUGGUCAUCAGCGACCCGUCUUGAAACACGGACCAAGGAGUCGUCUUCGUAUGCGAGUGUUCGGGUGUUAAACCCCUACGCGUAAUGAAAGUGAACGCAGGUGAGAGCUUCGGCGCAUCAUCGACCGAUCCUGAUGUUCUCGGAUGGAUUUGAGUAAGAGCAUACGGGGCCGGACCCGAAAGAAGGUGAACUAUGCCUGUAUAGGGUGAAGCCAGAGGAAACUCUGGUGGAGGCUCGCAGCGGUUCUGACGUGCAAAUCGAUCGUCAAAUAUGGGCAUGGGGGCGAAAGACUAAUCGAACCUUCUAGUAGCUGGUUUCCGCAGAGUUUCCCCUCAGA